CCUAAGGUAGCAAAAUAAAUUGGCCAGCUAAGUGUUCUGGGAAAACACUAUUGUGGGCCCAACUAUCAAACUCCGGGGACAUCCUAAAGUUUAUGAUACCAAGCCAUAGUCGAAAGUCUAUGAGUGGCCAGAAUAAUUACCUGGGUAUGGUAACAAGUCAUAAGAUGAGUGAAAACGAAAUGGAUUAUCGCGGAUCUAAAUCAGAAUUUCAAAGCCCACAGCCAAAAGAAAUUUCUGUAAAAGAGCAACGAGUAGAUGGUAGUUAUUUUGGAUUUUACCCAAAAUUAAGGUGUACUCUAAUGGGCUUCGAAAGAAGUUAUCAACUCAAAAACCCUUCUAACCAAUUUUUUAAAAAAUACUUUUCUAUUUUAAAUACAAAACCUGAAACUUAAAUAAAUCCUUGGUUUUUAAACUGGUUUUGCAGAUGCUGAAAGUUGUUUUUUUAUUAAAAUACAAGCAAAUGCUAAAUUAAAAACUAAAGAAUAUCUAACGAUCCUUCUAAAUCAGUGUACGAUCAAAUAAUAGAAAUAAAAUCAGGUAUGAAUCUAAAUAGAAAAUAGUAGUGUUAAUUAUAUUUAUUACUCAUUUUAUUAAAUUGUAUGAUAAAUUUGAAUAGCCGUGUUAAAUGUGGUCCGGUAUCAAUAAU
rnacentral:ncRNA from 8 species